GUUUAUGUCAGCUGUUGGUUUUGUCGAUAUAAUUUUUUUGAACCAGUUAUAAAAGGAAUGGCGUCAUUUGACGGUGGCAUUUAAUCGACGUCUUCUGAGAACUCAAUCUGAGAGCAGCUUUACAUCACAGUUUCACCAUCAAGUCAAAGAUGAAUAAAUUAGCAGUUAUUAUUGUCAUCGCUCUCUCCGUUACUAUGGUAACUUCGAGAACCUACCAUGGUGACUAUAGCGGCAGACCAUUGUGUAGGAGUGGAGCACAGGGGUAUAGAAGUUGUGAGACGAUCGGCGAAUGGACAUGCGUACCAAAGACGGACGAAAGAUCUGGUAGGACAAUGGGAGAGCUUAAGCAAGGGAAUAAAGCCGAUUUCGAUGAAUGCAACGACAGACGAUAGAUAUCAAAAGCAAAACCAGAGCGUCAGUAGCCGCGUUAAUGUCAAUCGAACUGACUGUAUACGCAAUGAUGUAGGCCUCUUAUAUAGGCUGCGCUUGCAGAUUGUUAAUCUUUUUUCUUAAUUUAAAAAUAUUGUUUAAAAGAAAAUUAUACAGUUCGUACUAUAUAAAUGUUCCUAUAUUCUAGUACUGAUAAUAUUAUUUAUUUGUUUAAAUGUGUAAUUCAAAGGAAACUUAAUUAAAAUAAACUUAAAUUAAAUAGUAUAGGCCUAGUAGUAAAUUAGGUUUGGUGGGCAGCUUAAACACAACACUGAUACAAAUAGAUAUAGGCCCUAUAGGUCUAAAAAAUAACAGUGCUCUCUCUCUCUCUCUCUCUAUAUAUAUAUAUAUAUACAUACAUACAUACAUACAUAUAUAAUAUAUAUUUAAAUUAGGUUUGCACAUAAACAAAUGGAUACAAUAAUAACAAUAAAAGUGCUUGAGACUGUCAUUAUUAUAUUUAUCAUUUGUUUAUAUUGUAUAUUAUGUAUGUGCGUAUAUAAUGUACACAUCACUGAUAAAUGCCACAUGAGUACAGUAUUUAAGAGUGAAAAUGGUACGAUUAAAAUGUUAUAAAAAGAAA